UCCACCAACCAGGUCUCUAGGGAUCUCUUC
rnacentral:piRNA from 1 species